rnacentral:sRNA from 1 species
GGAGCAGAAAGGGGCGCCCCAAGUAGGAGGGAUCCUACUUGGGCGCCUCCUCCAAGUCGGCCUCCCCUCCUUCCAUAUUCAUCAGAGGGGGAAGGAAAGAGAAGGGGGGAGGGAAGGAAAAGGGGAGGCUAAAUCCUCCCCUUUCCUU